rnacentral:rRNA from 1 species
UACGGAGGGUGCAACCGUUGCUCGGAAUCAUUGGGCGUAAAGCGCACGUAGGCGGACUGUUAAGUCGGACGUGAAAUCCCUCAGCUUAACUGAGGAAGUGCAUUCGAAACUGGCAGUCUUGAGUACGGGAGAGGGUCGCGGAAUUCCCGGUGUAGAGGUGAAAUUCGUAGAUAUCGGGAGGAACACCAGUGGCGAAGGCGGCGGCCUGGACCGAUACUGACGCUGAGGUGCGAAAGCGUGGGGAGCAAACAGG